CGUAGGGUGCAAGCGUUAAUCGGAAUUACUGGGCGUAAAGCGUGCGCAGGCGGUUUUAUAAGUCUGAUGUGAAAUCCCCGGGCUCAACCUGGGAACUGCAUUGGAGACUGUAAGGCUAGAGUGUGUCAGAGGGGGUAGAAUUCCACGUGUAGCAGUGAAAUGCGUAGAUAUGUGGAGGAAUACCGAUGGCGAAGGCAGCCCCCUGGGAUAACACUGACGCUCAUGCACGAAAGCGUGGGGAGCAAACAGGAUUAGAUACCCAGGUAGUCCACGCCCUAAACGAUGUCUACUAGUUGUCGGGUCUUAAUUGACUUGGUAACGCAGCUAACGCGUGAAGUAGACCGCCUGGGGAGUACGGUCGCAAGAUUA
rnacentral:rRNA from 1 species